rnacentral:tRNA from 1 species
GCGCCUAUAGCUCAGUUGGUAGAGCAGCUCCCUUUUAAGGAGACGGUCGUGGGUUCGAAUCCCCCUGGGCGCAC